UACGAAGGGUGCAAGCGUUACUCGGAAUUACUGGGCGUAAAGCGUGCGUAGGUGGUUUGUUAAGUCUGUUGUGAAAGCCCCGGGCUCAACCUGGAAAUGGCAAUGGAUACUGGCAAGCUAGAGUGCGGUAGAGGGUAGUGGAAUUCCCGGUGUAGCGGUGAAAUGCGUAGAGAUCGGGAGGAACACCAGUGGCGAAGGCGGCUACCUGGACCAGCACUGACACUGAGGCACGAAAGCGUGGGGAUCAAACAGG
rnacentral:rRNA from 1 species